rnacentral:rRNA from 1 species
UCCUACGGGGGGCAGCAGUGAGGAAUAUUGGUCAAUGGGGGAAACCCUGAACCAGCGACGCCGCGUGCGGGAUGAAGGGGCUUUGCCCUGUAAACCGCUGUCGGAGGGGAAGAAAAGCCGGGUCGCCCGGCUGGGACUGUACCCUUAGAGGAAGGUUCGGCUAACUACGUGCCAGCAGCCGCGGUAAUACGUAGGAACCAAGCGUUGUCCGGAAUUACUGGGUGUAAAGGGUGCGCAGGCGGACUUGUGCGUCAGAGGUUAAAUGCCCCGGCUCAACCGGGGAAAUGCCUUUGAUACGGCAAGUCUUGAGUACGAGAGAGGAUGGUAGAAUUCCUGGUGUAGCGGUGAAAUGCGUAGAUAUCAGGAGGAAUACCCGUGGCGAAGGCGGCCAUCUGGCUCGUUACUGACGCUCAGGCACGAAAGCGUGGGGAGCAAACAGGAUUAGAUACCCCGGUAGC